UACGUAGGGUGCGAGCGUUGUCCGGAAUUACUGGGCGUAAAGGGCUCGUAGGUGGCCAACUAAGUCAGACGUGAAAUCCCUCGGCUUAACCGGGGAACUGCGUCUGAUACUGGAUGGCUGGAGUAUGGGAGAGGAAUGCGGAAUUCCAGGUGUAGCGGUGAAAUGCGUAGAUAUCUGGAGGAACACCGGUGGCGAAGGCGGCAUUCUGGACCAUUACUGACGCUGAGGAGCGAAAGCCAGGGGAGCAAACGGG
rnacentral:rRNA from 1 species